GAGAGUAUAGCUUAACUGGUAAAUUGCAUGCUUAGCAUGCGUGAGGUCCUGGGUUCAACCCCCAGUAGCAUCA
rnacentral:tRNA from 1 species